UGGGGAAUUUUGCACAAUGGGGGAAACCCUGAUGCAGCGACGCCGCGUGUACGAUGAAGAUCUUCGGAUUGUAAAGUACUGUCCUUGGUGAAGAUAAUGACUGUAACCAAGAAGCAAGCCCUGGCUAAAUACGUGCCAGCAGCCGCGGUAUUCCGUUUGGGGCAAGGGUUGUCUGGAAUUAUUGGGCGUAAAGGGUACGUAGGCGGUUAUUUAAGUCUAAAUUAAAAGGCAUUGGCUCAACCAAUGUAAGGUUUAGAUACUGGAUAACUUGAGUAGAUGAGGGGAAAGUGGAAUUCCAUGUGUAGCGGUGAAAUGCGUAGAUAUAUGGAGGAACACCAAUGGCGAAGGCAACUUUCUGGAAUCAAACUGACGCUGAGGUACGAAGGCGUGGGGAGCAAACAGG
rnacentral:rRNA from 1 species